rnacentral:rRNA from 1 species
UGGGGAAUUUUGGACAAUGGGCGCAAGCCUGAUCCAGCAAUGCCGCGUGUGUGAAGAAGGCCUUCGGGUUGUAAAGCACUUUUGUCCGGAAAGAAAACCUCUGCCCUAAUACGGUGGGGGGAUGACGGUACCGGAAGAAUAAGCACCGGCUAACUACGUGCCAGCAGCCGCGGUAAUACGUAGGGUGCAAGCGUUAAUCGGAAUUACUGGGCGUAAAGCGUGCGCAGGCGGUCCGCUAAGACAGAUGUGAAAUCCCCGGGCUUAACCUGGGAACUGCAUUUGUGACUGGCGGGCUAGAGUAUGGCAGAGGGGGGUAGAAUUCCACGUGUAGCAGUGAAAUGCGUAGAGAUGUGGAGGAAUACCGAUGGCGAAGGCAGCCCCCUGGGCCAAUACUGACGCUCAUGCACGAAAGCGUGGGGAGCAAACAGGAUUAGAUACCCCGGUAGUCC